CUCUGAUAUUUCAACCUGGGCCGUCACCCUCAGAGGACUCUGGGGAGCUUCCUCCUCAUCGGAGCUUCCCUCAUCUCCUUCGCUUCUCCUCAGAGAAGGAGGCCUCUGGCCGAACUUGAUAGUCUGCGCGAUCUGCUUCUGAAUUUUUCACUUUGUCCGAGACGUUUUCCUGGGACAUGGCGUGAUCCAGGCCGGCCUGCUUGGCCGACUCCUCCGGGAUGAAGAUGCUAUCGAACAGAUCAACGGACCUUAGACUUUGACUGGCGUUCUCGUCGUCGGACACAACUCCAUUGCACACCUGCGCCCCGUCAAAGCCCCCCUGGGCCUCCCUCUUCUGCUUCUUCUUCCCAAAGAGGCGCUUGAAAGGAAACAAAGACCUUAAUGCACCGCCACGGGCGCGCUCACACACUCAUGCGUGAAACGAGAAAGGACCAGCUACUCUGCUCGCUCGUGUUCAAGCCCCCCCAGCCCCCCGGAGCCUCCUGCUGGUUCCUCACGCCAGAUGGACAUCCGACGCAGCCGAUCAGGUGGAGGCUAAGCUAGCCCGAGGGAGGACGGCGGGAAAACAGCAGGAGGCUUUUUUCUUUUCUCUCUCCAAGAUUCAAAACCAGCACAAGCAGCUCAAGUCCAGCUUCAACGCACACCAUGCAGCUCUUAAAGAGACAGAGAAGCAAGAACAAACACGACACUGUCUCUUUAAGGUUUUGGUUGCUUUUUUUUUACCUGUGCCUUUGGAUUGCUCUAUAAGCAUGCCGGGCUCGGUUUCCGUGGCGCCCGUCGCCAUGGUUGCACCGCAGCACCUUGGCUACUAUGGGAUGAAGGAAGCGUGGGAAUUUAUUUAACUGCAGAUGGGUGAGGUACAUCCAACUGGACCAAUGGUACACAUCAACAUGUGCUUUUUAUACAGUCUUGCAGAUAGUCACCUCAGUCUGGAAUGUAUCCCUCGUAAUAACCUGGGUUCACUGCACUAUAAAAUAAAUAUUUUUAAAAAAAAAGGUUUUGUGGGAAAAAACAGAUAUAGUGGGGCAAAACCGCCAUAUUCCAAAACGAAACAAAAAUGGAAAAAGGUGAAGCAGAAGCACUUUUCAGAUGCAUGGGAAGUGACAAUUGGUCUUCCAUCCCAGCAG